UGGUGGGUAGUUUGACUGGGGCGGUCUCCUCCUAAAGAGUAACGGAGGAGCACGAAGGUUGGCUAAUCCUGGUCGGACAUCAGGAGGUUAGUGCAAUGGCAUAAGCCAGCUUGACUGCGAGCGUGACGGCGCGAGCAGGUGCGAAAGCAGGUCAUAGUGAUCCGGUGGUUCUGAAUGGAAGGGCCAUCGCUCAACGGAUAAAAGGUACUCCGGGGAUAACAGGCUGAUACCGCCCAAGAGUUCAUAUCGACGGCGGUGUUUGGCACCUCGAUGUCGGCUCAUCACAUCCUGGGGCUGAAGUAGGUCCCAAGGGUAUGGCUGUUCGCCAUUUAAAGUGGUACGCGAGCUGGGUUUAGAACGUCGUGAGACAGUUCGGUCCCUAUCUGCCGUGGGCGCUGGAGAACUGAGGGGGGCUGCUCCUAGUACGAGAGGACCGGAGUGGACGCAUCACUGGUGUUCGGGUUGUCAUGCCAAUGGCACUGCCCGGUAGCUAAAUGCGGAAGAGAUAAGUGCUGAAAGCAUCUAAGCACGAAACUUGCCCCGAGAUGAGUUCUCCCUGAGACUUAAAGUCUCCUGAAGGAACGUUGAAGACGACGACGUUGAUAGGCCGGGUGUGUAAGCG
rnacentral:rRNA from 1 species